UUGUGGUUGAGUUUCUAUUUCCUUUGAUAAUUUUGAGAAGCUGCCAAGGCUUUGUACAUGGAUAGGAGAAUCGUCUAAUACAGCUAUACAGUUCAUCAAUAAGGCAAGGCCAUGGAUUACAUUGAUGGUCAUUGGCUGGGAAUAUGGUGCAAACAUGUUGACGAAGUACUUGGCAGAAGCUGG